rnacentral:lncRNA from 1 species
UAGAAGCUUGUCCUAGACAGUCUUUGGCAGAUAACAAGUGUUUGGUCUGCAUUUAUCGAUCUGAUCAGGUGUCUGGACCAUCAGGACUCUAGGAUGGACUUAGCGAAGACAAACUGUUUACCCCACAAGUUCCGGUACUGAGAGGAAAGGUAACCAAAGCUACCUGUGCUUGAAAGUGCAAGCUGUCUACUUGCAGAGACAGGACCCACAAGCCCACUGCUCCAUGCUUGGACUGUCAGUGCUGUGAUGAUUCCAAGGCAGCAGCCCACCCCUUGCUCUUUUCCCAGUCUGGCUGUUUCAGAUGAAAAGACGGAGAGGCAGACGUCUGCUGUAGUGACGGUGGUGUUUUAUUUUAAGAUAAAGUAUGGAAGCCGCUGAUUGAUGGAUUAUAAACUGGGAGGUCCAGAAUAAAGCUUCAUUCUGGGGGCAUCGGUAUAUUUCACAGGGAGCCUCCUGGGCAUUAAUUUUGCCGUUAAUUUUGUUAUUAGAGACCUAGGCAAACAAAGGGAGGUGGUGAAGCUAGGGGCUGAUUUAACCUUGAUGAAACAGUGAUUUCACCAAGGAUGAUGUUCCCCAUCUAUCUUCAUCCAUCAAGGUAACGCUGAAAUAUGCUAAUGAAUCCCGAAGAUAGGAACACAGAGCAGUGAAAUGGGCCGUUGCAGAUGCUCUCUGGACCCCCAUGACAGGGUGAUACCACUGACUGUCCAGAUUGAGCAGAAGAUCCGGAGCCACACAGACAGGCUCCUAUGGAGCAGGAAAGAGCAUCGGAUGAGGUUUUCCUUGGAGACUGGAAGGGCACACAUCAUAGAAUGGGUGGGAAAGCCUGGCUUUUGGUGAAAGGGCUUGUUUCCUGAAUUCUUCAACUUGUUUUCAAGCCAGCCCGUUGGGGAACCAAGUAGAUGGUGUACUGCACCUGGGCAAGCAGGUUUAUUUGUAAAUUCCAACCUAACUUAAUGCCAAAUCAAGUUAUCAGUUACCAUGUCAGUUCGCAGUUCUGAGUUUGUUUCCAAGGAAAAAUAAGCUAAUACUAGUUUGUGAGUUUUAAGCUACAACCUGUUGGGUACUUACUACAUGCUGAGCAAACUAUCAAAUUAUAUAUACCCUAUGAGGAAGUAUCAUUAUAGCAUAUGAUUUGCACAUGGGGUUUGAGGACUUUUCAUAUCUAGAGUUGUAUAUUGUUAAGUGGCAGGAUUCUGGUACAGACCCAUGUCCAUCAGACCCCUAAGCCCUGAUACAAACAGUAGUGGUCCAAGGACUAUUAUGUAGGGGUUAUCCAGGAUCCCUCCAUGACUGUCAGGAGUGUUUUUACCUACCGUUUAUCUGUUGCUUGGCAGUAGUUCAAGUUUAACCUCAGGAUUCCUUGUCCAUUUACUUUCUAAAUACACAGAUCUGUGGGGACAGAACAGGGUCCUCUAUAGAUCCCUAGAUGAUAUUCCUCCCAUUUAUUAGUGCCGUUACUGAGCUGUUUUCUGGUUUUCACAUAGUAGAUGACAGACGUUGGGUGUUUUGUUUCUCUAAGUUAAUCUUACAGGGAUCACAAUAAAACAUCUGUCAGUUUAAAUUUAUUGGUAGAUACACCUAUUUACUCCUUGUUCAUCCACUCCAGCCUAUCUGGCCACUCAGAGAAAAGAAAAAAAGUCAAAGAGUAAAUGAAAUUUCCUUCUUCUUGAUCUGAUGGCAAUUCAGACAAACUGAUAUUAGGAGCUGUGUUCUCCACUGAUAAUCCCAGGAGACUUGACAAUACCUCAACUGGAGUUGAACCUACUUCAAGGAUGGGGACCCUGAAGUGUAGGGUGGGAUAUUAACAAUACAGUUUACGUUGCUAUUCAGGCAAACCAGGCAUAAGGAUCCUCAAAUCUAAAAUGUUUGCCAUCUGUUUAUCUUGUUCUGCUUCUUUUGGGAAUAGAGAAGUAGACACUAACAUGAGAAAAGGAGCCUGGGUAGAAGAUGGUGACAUGGGAUGCUAAGUCACACAAGCUCCCUAAGAUUCACUGGGCCAGGCACAAGUGCCACAUUGGCUUUAGAGUCUGCUGGCCAUUUCUGAAGCAGGUGGGCCUGUAGCUGGCUGUUAUUAAAGAGUUAAUCACCUAAGACCAGGCCUGUGGAGGAUGUUGUACUAGUCUUUGCAUCUUGCCCAAAGGUAGCAUUGGCCAGUGAGCUCAGCCCUGGCCUUCUGUCUGGUUAGUCUGUCUCUCAGCUGCCCCUUUCUAGGCUUUCUAGACUUGGAGUUCAUACACAGUAAAUCUUUCUCUUAAUAAAGCCGUUUUUCAAAUCU